CCUACGGGUGGCAGCAGUGAGGAAUAUUGGUCAAUGGACGCAAGUCUGAACCAGCCAUGCCGCGUGCAGGAAUACGGCUCUUUGAGUUGUAAACUGCUUUCGUACGAGGGCAAACUCAGAUACGCGUACCUCUCUGAACGUAUCGUACGAAUAAGGUUCGGCUAACUCCGUGCCAGCAGCCGCGGCAAUACGGAGGAUUCAAGCGUUAUCCGGAUUUAUUGGGUGUAAAGGGUGCGUAGGCGGUCGGAUAAGUUAGAGGUGAAAUCCCGAGGCUCAACUUCGGAAUUGCCUCUGAUACUGUUCGGCUAGAGAGUAGUUGCGGUAGGCGGAAUGUAUGGUGUAGCGGUGAAAUGCUUAGAGAUCAUACAGAACACCGAUUGCGAAGGCAGCUUACCAAGCUACUUCUGACGUUGAGGCACGAAAGCGUGGGGAGCAAAAAGGAUUAGAUACCCUUGUAGUC
rnacentral:rRNA from 1 species